UAGGGAAUCUUCGGCAAUGGACGAAAGUCUGACCGAGCAACGCCGCGUGCGUGAAGAAGGUUUUCGGAUCGUAAAACUCUGUUGUUAGAGAAGAACAAGGACGUUAGUAACUGAACGUCCCCUGACGGUAUCUAACCAGAAAGCCACGGCUAACUACGUGCCAGCAGCCGCGGUAAUACGUAGGUGGCAAGCGUUGUCCGGAUUUAUUGGGCGUAAAGCGAGCGCAGGCGGUUUCUUAAGUCUGAUGUGAAAGCCCCCGGCUCAACCGGGGGGGGUCAUUGGAAACUGGGAGACUUGAGUGCAGAAGAGGGGGGUGGAAUUCCAUGUGUGGCGGUGAAAUGCGUAGAUGUAUGGAGGAACACCAGUGGCGAAGGCGGCUCGCUGGACUGUAACUGACGCUGAGGCUCGAAAGCGUGGGGAGCAAACAGG
rnacentral:rRNA from 1 species